rnacentral:rRNA from 1 species
AAAACACAGGAGCGUGCGAAGGCGCAAGCCGCUGUAUACGCUCUGACGCCUGCCCGGUGCCGGAAGGUUAAGAGGAUCCGUCAGGCUUCGGCCGAAGCGGUGAAUUCAAGCCCCGGUAAACGGCGGUGGUAACUAUAACCAUCCUAAGGUAGCGAAAUUCCUUGUCGGGUAAGUUCCGACCUGCACGAAUGGCGUAACGACUUCCCCACUGUCUCGACCAGGAGCUCGGCGAAAUUGCAGUACGAGUAAAGAUGCUCGUUAAGCGCAGAAGGACGAAAAGACCCCGGGACCUUUACUAUACCUUGGUAUUGGCAUUCGGUGUGGAUUGUGUAGCAUAGGCGGAAGGCUUCGAAGCCACGGCGCCAGCCGCGGUGGAGCCGCAAGGUGAAAUACCGCUCUGUUCGCAUUGGAUGUCUAACCUCGACCAGUCAUCCUGGUCAGGGACAGUGCCUGGCGGGUAGUUUAACUGGGGCGGUUGCCUCCCAAAGAGUAACGGAGGCGCUCAAAGGUUCCCUCAGCCCGGUUGGCAAUCGGGUGGCGAGUGUAAGUGCACAAGGGAGCUUGACUGCGAGACUGACGGGUCGAGCAGGGACGAAAGUCGGAACUAGUGAUCCGGUGCCGGUGUACGGACGCGGCAUCGCUCAACGGAUAAAAGGUACCCCGGGGAUAACAGGCUGAUCAUUCCCAAGAGUCCAUAUCGACGGGAUGGUUUGGCACCUCGAUGUCGGCUCGUCGCAUCCUGGGGCUGGAGCAGGUCCCAAGGGUUCGGCUGUUCGCCGAUUAAAGCGGCACGCGAGCUGGGUUCAGAACGUCGUGAGACAGUUUGGUCUCUAUCCUCUGCGCUCGUCGGAAUGUUGAGGAGGCCUGCCCAUAGUACGAGAGGACCUGGGUGGACGAACCUCUGGUAUGCCGGUUGUCACGCCAGUGGCACGGCCGGUUGGCUACGUUCGGAAGGGAUAACCGCUGAAAGCAUCUAAGCGGGAAGCCUGCUCCAAGAUAAGCAUUCCAUAGGACUACGGGUCCUUGAAGUCCCCAUGCAGAACACGUGGUUGAUAGGCCGGACGUGGAAGCCCCGCGAGGGGUGGAGCCGACCGGUACUAACGGACGAAAGGCAACACAAC